rnacentral:lncRNA from 1 species
UCAAAGGCAGCCAAAUCUGACCCUAAAUCACAAAAUAUUCAGGCGAGUGUGCCUCAAUCUCGCCUCACGUGUCUUCUUUCUCUCUUCUUAACCAUAUGUGUAACUCUCUCUAUCAAAUUCUCCCGCCCCAUCCACUUCUCACGUGUUGGAAGCCUCUAAAAGGCAUAUGCUAGAUGAAUAUGAAGCGUAGGUUCGAUUUCAAUGAAUCACAUCCCUUCAUUUAUCAGGUUGGUGCCUGAUAAGUAGAGAGAACUUUGGAGGAUUUUUCGGAGGGGGAGCAUGGAAAGAAAAGGGCCAAGAGAUUUCAAUUCUAACAUACAAAGGAUAUGAAAGAGACAUAGUGGUUCGAUUUCUCUUGCAUCUUUACUCCUCCAUUUUAUUUUGCUUUGGAUUUAUGGUGUCAAGUAUGGAUUUUGAGUGAGUCGUUUGUUGAUUCGAGUUCCGAUCAAGGCUUGUUCGAGGUUGCUGGCUGCUUUUGCUUGGUUGCUGCGUGAUUCAAAUUUUCACUGCCGAGGUCCAUGGUAUUUCUGCCCCUGAAAUUAAUAGAAAUUUUGAGCAUCCCAGUUUAUUUCCCCUCUUAUACUACUUUGUUUAUAUGGUUUAAAACAUGGUUAGGAGAUUCAGUCUCGUUGGAGCUGAGAUUUAUGUGAUGUCGAUGUGAUAAGCCGCAUUUUGAUAACUUUAUAGUUGGUAAGGCAUUUGAAUUAAAGCGUGAUUAGUUGUGAAACGAUUAGCUGAAUUUCAUUCUAGUAACAUGGUCUUCGUGAUUGCGAACAUUAACCGUUUGGGUGUAAAGCCUAUGUGCUUGAGUUGAUAUUUUGUAAACCUUAAAGUUUAAGCUUCAAGUUGUACCUUUCUAUUGCUGAAAUCUGCCCCAAUUUCUGGCUCUGUUUUACAUUUGAAAACAUUGGUUUGAGCACUUGGUAUCCUCUGAUUGUUUUUUCUACUCCCUAUUCAUUGUUUUCAAACUGUGAGUGUGUAAUUCUGCUGUACUCGGCACGAGCCACAAGAUUCAGGGCUUGUUUAAUGGUUUAGAAAAAUCAUCAAGAUGUACAUGGAAUGUGUGGUUGGUCCAGGAUGACCCUCAUUGCCAACCUUGAUAUUUUAUGUUUGGAAAUUUAGCACAUAGCUAGUCAUUGGUUGUGUUAAGCCUAACCUCAGUGCAAUUUGUUCAAGUAUCCUUAUGAGAAUCAAUUCAUUGGAGAUUUUUGUGCUAAUUAUAGAAUAAUACAUGUCCUGGAUUCUUUGUGAUCUAGUUUCUGAAUUCCAUUUCUUCUGAUUAGUUGAGUUAGUAUCAAGGAGACGUAAUACUCAUUAAGUUCAGAAUGUCAGUCCACGACUGGGUAGACUUUCAUCCAAAUCUCAUUGAAUUUUAUUUAUGUGACGUGGUAUGAGACAUGUUGCAAUGACGGAGUUGAAAUGUGUCAAAAAUCGCGAAUGCAUUUAUGUGACGUGGUUCGAGACAUGUUGCAACGACAUUACAAUUUCCUUUAAAAGAUAAUAAUAAAAGCGGUUGAAGGUUAAAAAGCUCAUAAAUCAAAACAUGAUCUAGAACCAGAUAAUUUAAGCCAAAUAUGACAGUUGAGCGACCGUGCUAGAACCACGGAACCCGGGAAUGCCUAACACCUUCUCCCGGGUUAACAGAAUUCCUUAUUCGGAUUUCUGGUUCGCGGAUUGUUAAAAAUAGUCAUUCUUUCCUCGAUUCAGGAUUCUAACCGGUGACUUGGGACACCAUAAAUCUACCAAGUGGCGACUCUGAAAUUCUCUUAAAUAAUUGAAUCCCCUUUCGAUUGUCCUUUAAUUGGAAAAGCGCUCUUAUCUACGCCCUUCACCGGGUUGUGGAUAUUCAAAAGGAGGUGUGACAGCUCUGGAGACUCUACUGGGGAACGAACCCAGAAUCUCUAGUUUUGGGUUCAAGAAUUCGAGCUUAGAAUAAUUGUUGUAUUUGGCUUUGUUUAUUAUUUGAUUUUACAUGUUGACUUAAUGAGCAAAAUGAUGCUUGUACCGCUUUGAUACUAUUUGAAUUGUAUAUAAACUGUUACGAAACCCUUUCUCUCUUUAUCUUCGGGGAUGUGCUCGCUGGUCGAGACUCCCUAUUCUGUUAGUGUCAUACGGAGACAAACCAACAAUCUCUGGUUCAAGGUUCAAGAAUUCGAGCUUAGAAUAAUUGUUGUAUUCGGGGAUGUGCUCGCUAAUCGAGACUUCCUAUUUUGUUAGUCUCAUACCUUAAAUUAAGAAAAAGGCGCAGACAAGUUACAAAGCCGGACGAUCUUGCGGGUCCCCGAUACGUAGCCCUCUCCUCGACUCGAGUUGUCCGCUCGGGUACACAGUCUAGACCAAAUACCCAGGUGCUGAACUUAGUAUAAAAAAACCUCAUGCCAGAUCCUUAGUAGGAAUGCUUAUCUGCAUCAUGCAUUUAACUUAGAGGACUCAACACGGGGGUUGGGUCCGUCUAGGACAGGUGUUCCCAAAAUAACAGACCAUCCUGAUGCAUCCUAAUGUAAUACAUGUUGCAUUUCUACAAGGGUAAAGGGUCAUUUGGCGGACCAAUGAUGGCCGAGGGCAAAUGAAAAAAAGAGAAAAACAAUGAAAAGAAAAGAGGGUGAAGGGUGAAAAUAAAGCAAGUAGGAUUUAGUUAUGUUUUGUUAUAUUUUUAUUAAAAAGGAGACACGGGAAAUGUGAAAAAUUCAAAACAAAAAGAAUAUUUUGCACUUUUUUAUUAUUUCAUGAAAAAAAAUAGAAAAUCCAAAAAUAGUUUACAUAUUUCAUCAUUUUUCAAGAAGAGACAAAAGAAAAUAUUUUCUUUGAACAUUAGCUAUUUUUUUAUUUUUUGCCUGUAUCCAAUUUGCCCGAACUACGCAAACCCGAUUCUCGUCUUUCGGGACGUGAUACGUAGGCACCCCACAUAGGGUCCGGCCUUCCUAGUAAAUCUUAGGUUCUUGGCUUUGCGGGGUCUUAGCCAAAUUUCGCACUUCUAGCCAUCUGGCUUUUACUUCUAAAAUGUUCUCCCUGUUGAAUUGACUGCUUUUGUUACAUAGCAUAUUGUUCAGUGGGUUAGAAUUUGUUGAUGGAAGUGAAGGUUUGCUAGGCAUUAAUUUGUUGCUAGUUUCCUGUUGCUAUAAAGAAUUUUAUGUUUGCUACACGCAGUCCUGUAUUGUUCACUUUCUGCUCGACAGUGAGGCAUGCUUAUAAUGUAUAGCUUAUUGUUGUUGCGCGGUGUAGGGGUUUUCUUUAGAGUGACUUUGAAUUCCCUAAGGUUUUGUUUACCCCUUUUUGGAGAUUUUCCUUUCCUUUUUCUCUUUGGCAUGUUAGAAUUCUAACAUAUUGCGAACAUCCUAGUAGCAUUUAAAACACUAUCCUUCAGAUCAGUGUAGCAUGGCCUUUUGUCUCAUAGUUUAUCCAGUAGCACUAGGAUACAUGGACAGAACCUCCUUCGUGUCGAUCUGUCAGAAGUGACCUAUAAAGAAUAUCUAAAGUGAACUUAUCCAAAACAGAAAAAACAAAAAAAGACACAAUAUUAGAAAUGAUGAAGUUACUCUCUAAAUAUGUCAUACUUGAAACCUUUGAUAUGAUGACUUCAUCAUGGGGCUUUCCUCAAUUAAUCUGCAAUUAUUCUCUCACUUCUUAUGGUUAUUUACCUAUCACAAAAAAAGAGUUAUGUGUUGUAUGUCAAGGAUCAAGUGGCAAAUUCUAUUUGUUUAUUACUUGUCGAAGUGCUCAAUGUAGUUUUGAAGAAAUUUGAUAUUAGAUUUUCUUUUGUUGGGGUAGGUAGGGUACAAUCUUGUUUAGAUCUGGAUGUUCCUUCAUGACUUGUUAGUGGGAAGUGUAGUAGAUCUUGAUAUUUUAGAAGAUAAGCAUUCAUCCUUCAUUACAUCCUGGAGGCAUCAUAUGUUAUUUCUAGUCUAACCACAUCCUUAGUGACAUUUCUAGUUGGCCUUGGCGGUAAGAAAGGUAAGAGUGCUUUGCAUUAUGUAGUUGGUAAUGCAUCUUUGUUUCAUUUCAUGGAUCUCCUGAAUGAUAUUAAGGGACAUAAAUUUUGUCUUAAGAAAAAAGAACCACUUUAUUGCAUUACAUGUUUGCAGAGUUUUUUAUUUGAGCAAAGAUUCGUACUUCUGUCAGUUACUGUCCAUAUGAUGAUGAAGUUAUCAAAGCCAUAUUUAUAUAAUAAUUGAGCUGGUGCAUUUUGUGAUUUAUCAAUGGUAUUUUUAAUAAGGUUCCUUAGUGAAAAACUGUUUUCAUUUUCUUGUUUCAGAGCUUAUUGUUUUGGGCAGAAGAGUUGAAAAAUUGAAACUUUAUCCAAGGAUGACGCUGAAGUUGACGAGGAGGAAGAUGGAAGCUAGAGUUGCAGCUAAUCAUAUCAAACAAUAGUAAAAUGGGUGUCAAAAUAGUUGACAAUUAAAUAGUAGGUUCCCAACAAAGUGUUGAGAUUUGAACUUUGUUCUCCCUGCUGGAUUUUGUUUAGCAUUGAAAAUGACAAUUAGGUGGAAAUUUAGAGCUUCUGUCGUUAUCGGCAUUUAUUUGUAGCUGUAGUGCUGAUAUUUAUCUUUAUGACAACUAUUAUCUUUGGUUAUGGAGAGUUCAUGUAUUUUGGAAUGUUGGAUUUUGGUUUUUUGAUUUUUCUGUCAUUGUGGUACAAAAGGGAGAUCUUUUGGGUAUAAUGGCCUUGUCCUGUAAGUUUUAAAUCUUAAUGAAGAUUGUUGAAGUAUUAGAGGUCACAUUUUGUUCAAUGAUAAAUCAACAGGUGGCUAUGUCUUGUGGAAUUAGUUUUAUUAGCCUGCAAAAAGAAAGUUCUUUCUUCGGUUAUUGCUGAAUUCAGUGGUCAAUUGGAACAAGUACUACUUUGCUUUCAGUAGUAGUUGAUAGUGUCAUUGUAACUGAGAAAAAUUUAGACCCCUUAUAGUAAAAGUAUAGGAAUGAUAACAUUCGGGAGAAAGUGUUACGUGGCUCCCAUGGAUGAUAAAAUAUGAGAAGUGAGGUUUAGAUGGUUCGGGCAUGUACGGAAGAACAUCUCGUAGGUCUAUUAAUCAAAGUUUGAGCAUGGAAGAUACUCCAGGACAAUCCAGAUCUUCAGGAGUUGCUUAAGAAGAUUUAUUUUUAUUUUUAUCUUUUGAGUGUAUAUAUAUAUAUGAUUCAAAUUUUCACUGCCGAGGUCCAUGGUAUUUCUGCCCCUGAAAUUAAUAGAAAUUUUGAGCAUCCCAGUUUAUUUCCCCUCUUAUACUACUUUGUUUAUAUGGUUUAAAACAUGGUUAGGAGAUUCAGUCUCGUUGGAGCUGAGAUUUAUGUGAUGUCGAUGUGAUAAGCCGCAUUUUGAUAACUUUAUAGUUGGUAAGGCAUUUGAAUUAAAGCGUGAUUAGUUGUGAAACGAUUAGCUGAAUUUCAUUCUAGUAACAUGGUCUUCGUGAUUGCGAACAUUAACCGUUUGGGUGUAAAGCCUAUGUGCUUGAGUUGAUAUUUUGUAAACCUUAAAGUUUAAGCUUCAAGUUGUACCUUUCUAUUGCUGAAAUCUGCCCCAAUUUCUGGCUCUGUUUUACAUUUGAAAACAUUGGUUUGAGCACUUGGUAUCCUCUGAUUGUUUUUUCUACUCCCU